AGCAGCCGCGGUAAUUCCAGCUCCAAUAGCGUAUAUUAAAGUUGUUGCAGUUAAAAAGCUCGUAGUUGAAUUUCGGGAUUGACACAUCGGUCGUGCCUUAAGGGGUAUGAACUGGUGUAGUCAAUUUCUCACCUUCUGGAGAACCGCGAUGCCCUUAAUUGGGUGUCGCGGGGAACCAGGACCUUUACUUUGAAAAAAUUAGAGUGUUUAAAGCAGGCAUUUUGCUUGAAUACAUUAGCAUGGAAUAAUAAAAUAGGACGGCAUGAUUCUAUUUUGUUGGUUUCUAGGAUCACCGUAAUGAUUAAUAGGGAUAGUUGGGGGCAUUAGUAUUCAAUUGUCAGAGGUGAAAUUCUUGGAUUUAUUGAAGACUAACUACUGCGAAAGCAUUUGCCAAGGAUGUUUUCAUUAAUCAAGAACGAAAGUUAGGGGAUCGAAGACGAUCAGAUACCGUCGUAGUCUUAACCAUAAACUAUGCCGACUAGGAAUCAGACGAUGUUAAUUUUUAAUGUACUUCGUUUGG
rnacentral:rRNA from 1 species